rnacentral:lncRNA from 1 species
AAGGAGACAGGCUAUGCAAUUAGAUUUAGAUCACUCUUAUGUUUGCGGUACGUUUCAGAUAAAUAUUUCUGAUGGGAUCACGACUUGGCAACCAGUGCUGUCUGGCAGUCCAUGUGAGAAUGGAGUUAGUCAUCUAGUUGAAGAAGUUCAUUUAAAAGCUCAGACCUUCCCAGCAGAACACGCAGCUUCUGAGAUGCACAAAGUCCUGCCCACCUUCUGUCAUUAAGUAUCUUGUAGUAUCAUCAGCCAGAGUAGGAUGGUGGUUCUUGAGUUCUGGACAAAAUCCACAUCUGACAUCUUAAAUUCCUUAAGGAAUUCAAACAGUUAACAAAGAUUCUUCUUGUACUUUGUUCUACAGAGAGCUUUGUUAUCAGUAGAAACAAACAUAACUCUUGUGCAGCACUUGUCCCUGACUCUGAAAGGACUCACGCAUGUGAUUAGAUUUCAGUGGAGCAGCUUAUGUAUAAAUUUAAGCAAGAAUUUGUUACAGAACUCGAACGAUUGUGAAUAAGAUGCAUAGUACCCCUGGGAUAUUGUGAUGAAAGGUGGUGUUAUCUGUUUUAGUCAUAUCAGAUGUGUUGGUUUUACAUGAAUGCUAUGGUUGUAGUCAAUUCAUUUUCUAAUGUUUGGAAAAAAAGAUACAAACCCUGGCUGGCCUAAAAGAGGAUCAGCAUAUUACAGGCACUGUGCGUAGAUUCUUCUGUAGCACAGCUGGCUGGCAGGUAUUUCACAGAGUUAAAGGUCAUAAGUUCUUUUGUGUGUCAAGCUACAAUUUCCACAUAGAUCAGAUAUCUUUGACGUCUGUAUUCGCACACACCACUUAUAAGUCCUUGCCGAUGACAGCUGCAGAGCUCAGAAUUAGCUGGCUAGCUAAAAGCACAUGACCUGAUUUUUUCUUUUGUGCUGUCCACCACCACUAGCUAUUAUUUGAUUCAGGCACAAUUGUCCAAAUGUUGAUAAGCAGUGACAGAUUUAUGGCCAGAGGAGGAAAAACGUGAAGUGCUGAGGCUUGGCAAGGUAGUCUAGAUAAAAAAGCAUCUGCUCCUCUCUUGGGAGGUAGGAAAUAAAGGUUUGAUUUCUCUCUGUGCA